ACGUAGGGGGCGAGCGUUGUCCGGAAUCACUGGGCGUAAAGGGUGCGUAGGCGGCAUUUUAAGCUGGAUGUGAAAUACCCGGGCUCAACUCGGGGGCCGCAUCUGGAACUGGAGUGCUUGAGCGGAGGAGAGGGAAGUGGAAUUCCCGGUGUAGCGGUGAGAUGCGUAGAUAUCGGGAGGAACACCAGUGGCGAAGGCGACUGUCUGGGGUAUAGCUGACGCUGAGGCACGAAAGCUUGGGGAGCGAACAG
rnacentral:rRNA from 1 species